UUUCUUUUUCUUUUACAUUCAUUAGCCAUCAGAGAUAACAUUUAUCAAGUUUCUACAGGUUUUAAUUCGUUUUGCAAUCACAUAACCCCAGGAAACAGAGACCAUCCCCACUUUACAGAAGAGGGGCUUGGAGACCCAGAGAGGUUUAAAUCACUUUGCUAAGGUCACACAGCUGGAAGUCUGCAGUGGACCCAAGGUGGUCGAACUCCAGGACCGCCUUGACCACUACAUUAAGUGGCUCCGUAUGGCUACAUUUUUUUUCCCACGUUGUUAAAGAGUGACUAAUGCUGCCUGCCAUCUGUUACCAAGUCCGGUGGCUUUUCCUUCAGCUCCCUCCCGGAAUUGCAGCGCUCCGAACGCCCAUCCCCCCGCCAGAAGCACUUCCUGGCUCAAGCUAUGGCACCCACAGCUGCCACUGAGGCACCAACCAUCUCUGGGCUUCUGGGCCCCAGCACUGCAGGUUCCAACGGCGGAGAAUUCCGUAUGGAGGCUCUUCUUUGUCCUCUGUGCUCACCUGCACACUGCGUGGCCAUAGCUCCCAGCGUGCUCCGCCUCAGACCUCUCCUCCUUCAAAACCCCCAUCCCACCUUCUGUCUCACAUCAGAGCCGACUCUGAAGCCGUUGCCUGUGCCUGGAAUGCUCUCACCCCUCUCACGAAUUCUCUCCCUUUUUGGUACACAGACAGCUUCUGAAACUCCUAUUGGUCCGUGGAAUUUUUCUCUGCUGAUACAGGAGCAAGAGCUGUUCUCCACUUUGCCGAUUCAGAGUAGCUCCUGGAGUCCAGCCUGGCUGAGGCUUGGGGUCCACCACUUACUAGCCCUAUAAACUUGGGCAGGUUUCUAAGUCUCAAUACCUCCUCAUUGGCAUGGGAUAUUCAUACCUGCAGUCAAAGGAUUGUUAUGAGAUUUAAAUAACAUAAUCCAUGAAACGCUCCUAGCACAGAGCUGGCACAAAGCAUUAGGUCUGAUGGCUCACCCUCCCUGCUCCUGCUCCCUCCCUUUAUCCUUCACAGGUCCAAGAAAAUGGAUGAGGUUUUGGGACUGACUCCCUCACUGCCCAAGAGGCAAAGAGGAUGGUCACAUCUGUACCACUUACAAAGUAUGUGAUCACAUAGGUGAUGUCGUCUAAUUAUCACAGCAGCCCUGUGGGGUGUGUUAACUGGAGCUCAGCAGUCUACCUGAACCGUGGGGCACACCGAGGGAGGAUGCUGCAGUGAGUUGCAAGGGUCCCCAAUGGCUGCGUGGAGCCACCCCCUUGCCUGAACUGCUGCCCUCCAGACUUCCACCCUGUGAGGAGGAAUCAUGCUGAAGGGUAAAGCACGACACCUUCAGGGCACCCAUUCCAGAAAGAGAGACCCUCUCUACAGAGUAUGAGAACCCCAACCCCUGACGUAGCUGAUGGCACAAGGUUCCCCUUCAGGACACAUUCUGCUUCUCUGCUUUCCCGGUGCCUGCAGGUUGAAUCUGGACUUUGCUCGGACAGGAUCCGGUCCAGAUGAGGACAUGGCAGCCUCUGGGGAGAGCAGCAUCUACGCCUACUCCUUGACUGAUAGACUAGUGCAGGUGCCUGCCUGGAGGCGUGCUUCUCAAUCUACCCAUGGGGAAGGACCAGCUUUCAAAGGUCCAACCUGUCGUGGGCUGAUACUUUAGUAAAAUACAAUUAAAAUGAAAUUUUAAAAAAGACAUGAAUCUCAUAUUUUUAAUUAUUAGAUUGAACAGACAUAAAAUAACUCUGUCAAAUGGCUAUAAAAUUUCUCAUCACAGUUGCUCUCAGGUUCUGUACUUGCCUCAUUGAGGACUGGUAACAAUCCACAGACCAGCACUGGUCUGUUGACCACACUUUGGGUAGUAUGGACCUUUUAACCUAUACCCAAAAGGAAUAUUAUAUGUGUGGCAUGUAUAUUUAUAAAAAUGUUUAGAUAGAUUAAGUAACUCUGUAUUAGAAAAUUUUUAUUUUGAACAAUC
rnacentral:lncRNA from 1 species